CAAACCAGCCGGCUAGGGAAUGAGCUAGGGCGGCAGCCCAGGCUAAGAUACACACGUGGUGGAAGAGAAAGGGGCGGGUCUACUGCCCUUUGUGAUGUCACAAACAGGCGGAGACAGAUCUCUUUGUGUAGUUAGAAAGGAGGGUUCCAGGUGUAAAAGUGGGGGGGAGGGAAAUGUUGCCCCUUGGCGUUCUCUUCAGGAAUUACAACCGAGUUUUCUCUCAACUCCUGGAAGAGAUUAGCUAAUUUCAUGCUGUCUAUUUUACACACUCUUCGCCAAUAUUUUCCUUUUGCUUCCUCCUAAGGUGCUUUCACGUUAAAUAGGGCACGAAAAAAGAUGUUUUGUGUAGGUUAUUGGCAUUCCAGAUACAAUGACAUUGAAGAGCAAGGGCAUCUGAACAGUGGACUUAGAAUCAGGAAGACCUCAGUUCAAAUUCUGCCUCAGACAAAUUUCAGCCGUGUGAACCUGAACGAAUCAUUUUCUGAGCCCCAAUCUCAUCUGUAAAAUGGGGAUAAUAACACCUGCUUCUUGUGGUUGUUUUGAGGAUUAAGUCAAAACAUAUGUACAGCUAUUUUCAUGCCUUAAAGCAUGAUGCAAAUGUCGGUUAUUAUUAAUACAAAGUAUUUAAUGGGAGAGGAUGGCUAGAUGGUACAGUGGAUAGACUCACAGACCUGGAGAAAGAGACAUGUUUCUCUGAAUUCAAAUCUACCCUCAGACACUAGCUCUGUGACCCUGAGCAAAUAAAUCACAACCCUGUUGGUCUCCGUUUCCUGUUUUGGAAAAAGAGCUGGAGAAUCAAAUGGGAAAUCACUCUAAUAUCUUUGACAUGAAAACCCCAGAUGGGGUCAUGAAGAAUGGGACACAGAUAAAUAACAAAAAUUAAAUGGAGGAACUAUGCAUAUAUUAUAAGAGAAGCUUUGCUUAUGGGGAAAGACAAUACCGCAAUAGCAGAAGAGAUUACUUCAGACACAUGGCUGCAGUCAAAAAGAUAUCAGAAGAGGAAGAAAAUGGAGACAGAGAUCAAGAUCAAGACAAAGGAGAAGACAACAUAGAAGAAACAUAAAUCACAGCAAAAAGGACAAUUGAACUGUAACAAAGACAUUGCAGAAAAAAAUCAACACAGAGAAGAGGAAUACAGACUCAUUAUGGACAUGAACUGUAAGAUUUUUGCGCCAUUCUAACACUACACACUUUCACUCUAGUUGCAAACAAACACUACAUAGUAACAACAUGAAGACAGAAGAUAGUAGUAGAGGAAGUAACUUUAAAGACUUAGUAAGUAUUCACUAUAAAAUAACACACAUAUAGUACACAUUUCUCAUAAACUCUGCAACAUCAUAACCAGGUGAUGAGUAUCCAUAGAAAUAAAUAAAUACACAUAAAUCA
rnacentral:lncRNA from 1 species